rnacentral:snRNA from 1 species
GUGCUCGCUCCGGCAGCACACAUACUAAAAUUGGAACAAUACAGAAAGAUUAGCAUGGCUCCUGAGCAAGGAUGACACCCAAAUUCGUGAAGCAUUCCACAUUUUU